rnacentral:lncRNA from 1 species
UUUAAAAAUUUUUUUUCAUUAGUAUAGACAGUUUAAAAAUUAUCUUAACCCAUUUUGUAUAAGGAUGUUCAUAGCAACAGCAUCUAAGUGUCACCUUUGGUUGAACAAGAGAGGCAUAGGAAUUAAGGAUUCCAUUGAAUAAGAGUUAGGAAAAGAUCAGCGCCUUGUGGUGAAAAGUGAAUUCAUCAGGAUGUUAUCCUUUGCCACAAUUUGGUUUUAAUAUUAGGGCCCUUUAUCAUGCUAAGUGAAGUAAACCAAAGACAAAUAUAUAAUAUAGCUUAUAUGUGGAAUCUUUUUUUAAAAAUGACAUAAGUGAACUUAUAUACAAAACAGAAAUAGACCCACAGACAUAGAAAACAAACUUAUGGUUACCAAAGGGGAAGGUAGGAGUGGGGGGGUGGAUAACUUAGGAGUUUGAGAUACACAUUACUAUGUAUAAAAUAGAUAACCAACAAGGACCUACCAUAUAUCACAGGGAACUAUACUCAAUAUUUUAUAAUAACCUAUAAGGGAAAACAAUCUGAAAAAGAAUAGAUCUGUGGAUCUAUAUAACUGAAUCACUUUGCUGUACACCUGAAACUAAAACAACAUUGUAAAUCAACUAUACUUUAACUUUUUAAAAAUCCUAAAUAUAUGGCGAGCAAAAUUAUUUUAAAUCAUUAACAAAUUGAACACUGAGUUGGAAAAAAAAGGCUGAACUUACGCAUAUUUUAUGACCUAGGAAUUCCACACCUAACUAUACGUCCAAUUCAAAUACAUACAUCUCGUCACCAAAGACAUGUCCUAGCAUGUUCAUAAUCAAACUGUGUACAAUGGUCAGAAAAACAGAAAUAUCCAAAUUCCAUCAACAUUAAAAUUAAUAAAUAAAUAACGUAUAUUUAAACACUAUUCAGAAAUGAAAAUGAUCAGCAAUUAAAUGCAAUAUGAUGAGCCUCAUCAACAUAAUGUUGAAUAAAAGAAGUCAGAUACAAAAGAGUACAUAGCAAGCAAUGCCUUUUAUAUGACCAAAAUAUGACUGACAGUAUAAAAACAGGCAAAAGCAGUCUAUAUUGUUAGAAAAUCAACAUCACGGUUACUGUUUGUGGGGAGAGGAGUUAGAGACUAGAACAGUAUGAAGGGGCUUGUGCGGUGCUGAGAGUGUUUUGCUUUUUGAUCUAAGAGCUGAUUAGAUAGGUGUGUUCAAUAUCUGAAAAUUUAAUGAUUUUUUUUGUCUUUUGUCCUUUUUUAGGGCCACACACGUGGCACAUGGAGGUUCGCAGGCUAGGGGUCUAACAGAGCUGUAGCCACUGGCCUACACCACAGCUCACCACAACACUGGAUCCUUAAGCCACUGAGCGAGGCCAGGGAUCGAACCUGCAACCUCACGGUUCCUAGUCAUAUUUGUUUCCACUCCGCCACAAUGGGAACUCUAAAAUUUAAUGAUUUUUAUACAGAUGUUAUAUGUAGUUUUCUGAUAUUUGUGUAUUUUCUUUUAUUUUGAUCACGUUUUUUCAAAGGACCCAGGAAGUCAAAAUCACCUUUCUGCUGCCCAAAAGGAAAUAUGACCCUGUAAAGAUAUUGAGGUUUUCUGAGAAUUCCAGAAUCAAAUGGAAAUAUUCUUCAAAAGAGGCACAAACCAGCCAACAUUCAAUCCAAUUGAGCGAGAUUUUUUGUUGUUUUUGUCUUUUUUUAGUUAAAGAUGAUCAGAAAACAGGAAGUGAAAGUGAGUAAAUAGCUAACUUUAUCUCAAAUAUACCAGUAGUUUGUUUAAGGAUCACCUUGAACACGGUUCCCACAGAAGAAGGUAUAUCUAUGCUACACUACCCCAGUUUUUCAAAUCAGUCGUAAUUCCUAUGAACUAGAAAAUGGAUGGAGGAUUAAACUUCAUGGAGACUCUUAAAAGGUCAAGAAAGUGACAGCUUGUCUUCUUCUGGAAAUUUGCUGUGGCUUCAUCACCAUGAAAAUAUGUUUCUCCACCCUCACCAUCACUUCCCCAAAAUUGUUUUUCUUUAACAAGUCAAAUACGCAGAAAAACAUUCAUACCAACUAUUCUACCAUUGUGACACUGCUGUAAACUCUACUUCCCAAGACCAAGACACGAACAUAUUGUAAUGAUAACAGCUGGACACUUGGAAGAUGUUAGCAAGUGACCAUGCUGAUACUUUAAAUCUGGGCUUUCUUUAGAUGCCAAAAAAGCAUAUUUCUGAGAUCACAUUAUUUCCUUCAGGAGUCAAACAUACCAUCUCUUAGCUUAGAAAGUUACAUAGGGACAAGAUAUAGAACAAACCAUAGAUAUUCAGAAAAGAGACUGUGUUGAUGGAUCUGAUUCCUACUCAUUGAAAAAUUAAAUAAUUAACCCUUGGCAAAAACUCUAGCCUCCUUCCACAUGGGAAUGAAUGCAAAAGAUCUCUUCUGACUGGCUUCUUCUCUUCAAAUACUCUUUUCUAUCUACUCUUAGAGGAUGCAAAAAUACAGGACAGGCUGCUGGGACACAGCAUUAUUUACAGUCCUUUGGAUUGUCUUUAUUUCAAUAAAUGGCCUCUUAACCACCCAAGAGGACACGGGAACCAAACCUGAAUGUGAAAAUAAACAUAUGCCUAAAGCAUGUAACACACUUGACAACAUAAUCCUUUCAACUUCACAGAGGCUGAGAGUGUUAAGAUUUGGAAAAAAUAUUCAGAUAAUUUGUAUUAAAUCCUUCAUUGUACAAUCAAUUUAAGAAGCUUGGCUAAGGGGAUGCAAAUAAUUAAAGCUUAAGCUAAGACUAACACCCAGCCUUCCUUUGCUAAUCCCUAGUCUAAUACUUUAUGUGCUAUAUUGAGAUGCCUUGAGUCACAAAAAAUUACAAGAAUGAUGAUCUAUUUUUGUGGGUUGUGCACUGCUACUCAAGCAAAACCCAAGACUUGUAAGCCACAAAGGGUAAAACAAAACUCUCUAUGAACUGAUAUUCUUCAAGGAGGUACAUGAUCAGAAGGAGAUGCCCAAAUCCACUGACACACACCGUUGUUGUAUCACAUGAUGAACACCAAAA